CCCCACCCCUCGCCGGUGUUCUCAGGUCCCACCCUCCCCUCCAGCGGUCGGGUGCUGAGGGCUGCGGAGUUUAAACGCAGUUGUCGGGGGUGGGAGCCACUCCCACCCUGUGGGCGGUCUUCCGUGGACCAGGUACCUGGAGGCGUGGUUGCCCCGCAGAAACCGUAAGAGCCCCAUUUGCUUAUGUUGACCGAAGAACUGCGCCAAGAACCUCACAUGAGAUUCUUGGAACAACUUGGAACCUCCUAGAACAGUGACUUUCAAAGCGUCCCCAACCAGCAACCUCAUCACCUGGGCACUGGUUAAAAAUGCGUUUUAUGGGGCCCCACCACAGACUUGCUGAAUCAGAAACUCUAGGAGUGGCUCCCAGGUGAUUUCCUGCAGUUAAGUUUGAGAAUCACCGCUACAGAAAGUGGCCAAGGAGACCAAGACACUGACUAGUUAGAGACUUCACUCUUCAUAAUGUCAGGCUUUAUACUGAUGCUUCAACCUUCUCCGUCAAGUGGGAUCCUUCAACCUUUGGAGCAAGUGGGGCCUAUACUGGACUCAUUCACUGCACAUGGGGCUGCACUGGUCCCCUGCAGCUACAGCCUACAAGCCCAACCAGAGAAGAGGAAGUUUUCAGGCCCUUUCAUUAGUUCCGUCUGCCCUGUCACAGUCUUCUUUUACCUUAUAUCCACACUGAUAAACUUUCCCUAAUUGUUAAAGAAAUAAAUAUAUUUGCAGAUGUUACAUGUUCUUCUUUCCCAGUGCAGAUGGACCAAUUUUCUCUUGGGAGAAAUACGGGGACCUUGGUGUAUCUGGAUUGAAAAUAAUAAUCACAGUUAGAAAUCCCACUACUCACCCUGAGAAGGAAGAAUCAUAAUAUAGCUGUGUCAGUGGGUCUCAGAGUCCAAUUAGAAGAGGUUCUUAUAGACUUUAAUAAUACUGAGGUCAGGGAAUGAACCCUAAGAUGAAUGCCAUUUAAAUUGAGACUUGAAAGGGAAGAAACCAGACAGGUGAAGUACUGAGUGGGAGGGAGCAAUGUGUUCCAGGAAGAGGAAUUGCAAGUGCAAAGGUCCUGGGGUGAGAUAGAACUUGGAAAGUUCUAGAAACAAGAAAAAGCCAGAAUGGCUGAAAACUGUGAGAUGAGUGAGAAUUUUGGAUUUUAUUCUGUAUGGAUUUUAUUCUGAUACCAUUUUAAGGAUUUAAGCAGGAAAUUAAUUUAAGAUCAUGUCAGUUGCUAGCUGAAGAAUGGGUGAGGGAUGGAUAGAACAGAAGCAGAUAUACCAGUUAGGAUGCUAUUGCAGGUUGUAGGAGGAAAACACAAGCUUUUCUUUAGAAAACAAAAAUAUAAUUAGAAAAUGAUUUUCCAUUUUAAUAAAGGAAUUGGGGUUUUUUUUCUUUUUUUCCUGUAAAAUACUUUUCUGGCUAGAUCGAUCUAUUAAGCUAAGAUAGUGGUUCUUAAAGUGUGGUCCCUGGACCAGCAGCAUUGUCAUUACCUGAGAAUUUGUUAGAAAUGAAAAUUCUCAGGCACACCCCAGAAAAACCAAAUGAGAGACUGUGGGGAUGAGGCUCAGCAUUCUGUGUUUUUAUGAAGCUCUCCAGGUGAUUCUGAUGCAUACUCUUGUUUGAGAAGCACUGGGCUAAGAGUCCCAAGCAAAUUUUUUUAUUUGCAUUCUGGUGCAACCCACAUAAGGAAGGCUCUUCUUUCAAUAUUUGUAAAACAUUAUUUAUAUAAUUACAUAAGUCACAAAACAGUUACCAGUGUGAAAGCUAAUUAUAAAGGUUCUAGUUCAGAACACCUGGUUGGCACAGUUGGUUAAGUGUCCAACUCUUGAUUUCAGCUCAGGUCAUGAUCUCACGGUUCGUGAGAUCUGCACUGACAGUGCAAAGCCUGCUUGGGAUCCUCCCUCUCCCUCUUUUUCUGUCCCUCCCCCUCCCGUGUUCUCUGUCUCUCUAAAAAUAAAUCAAUAAACAUUUUUCAAAAAAUGCAAAAAUAAAGGUUCUAGUUUCAGUAAUAUGUAGACUUAAUCCUGGAAACCUUCCUGGUGAAAAACAUCUUGAAAUGCUAAAUAACAAUGAUCUCUUUGAACAUAUAGCUGACUCAUGAAAAAUUAAGGGAAAUUCCCAGGGGCUAAAAUUGAAAGAGUUAAAGAAAGCAGGGUCACCUGGGUGGCUCAGUAUUUUAGUUCCCUCUCAACUCCGUUCACGUAUCCCAUAAAUAUUUUUUAAAUGAUUCUAAGUCCCCAUUCUCAUAGAUCUUAUGUUUAGUGUAGGUCGCUGCUGUAUUCCAGACAGGAUAGAGUGGCAGCUUUGCCCAGGUAGGCGACAAGAGGGAGGUCACAAUGUGUACGUUGUGAUGACAUCUGUGGAGUAACUGGUGGCAUGGAGAACCCCACUGAGAGCUAAGCCUUCCUCCUGUGGGGAGGAUACGGGACCCGCCAUAAGUUAUCUCUCUGUCCCUGCAUCUGCCAUCCUAGGGCCAGCCAGAGUCCUCUUUGGAGGACAUGAACUCAGCAAGUGGUUUUGGCAAAAUGUGGAAAAAGGUGUUCAAGGGGAUUCCCAGACUCUCAGUGAGCCAUUUCCAUUUCUACUGUGGGACUUGUACUUUGGUGGGGAACUCCAAGAUCCUGCGGGCCUCCGGCCUUGGCAACAAUAUCAACCAGUGGACCCUAGCCUUCGGAAUGAACCAGGGCCCUGUCCAGAGCAUUGAAAAGGUGGGGAACCAAACCAUAGGAUGCUUCAUCUAUCCUGGGAAUGCCAGCAGCCAGGGCUCUUGGAGACAGCUGCUGCUUCUGCUGCUGCUGCUGCUGCUGAAGCUUUCUGGUCUGGUGUGGACUUCAGAUGCUCCAAGUGAGGAGGGUGCCUACUUUGGAUUUGGAUCAGAAAAGCAAAGAAAGGGGUACAAUGACUGUUAAUCAGACCAAUGAUUACAAGGAGAUUUUGUCCAUACAGAGCAUGGAAGCAGAAAUGGAAGUCAGCUACAGUGUGUUGGGCAAGCUCACUGUCCACACGUGACACCCUGCAGAGUUCAUGCAAGUCCUAGUCCUUUGGACCUCAACAAAGCAGCAGUUUGUUUCUGUUUCUGAGACCAAGAAUUCCAACUAACACAGAUAACAAGGAUCAAACAUCACACUUCUGCCAACAGCACUGGAGUCUGGAAGAUGAUGGAAUAUGCCAUCAGGCUCUGGAGCUACUUUUGCAACCUAGGAUCUUUUACACCCAGCCAAACUAUCAAUCAAGCCUAAGGACAUUGUGGUCUCCAGGGCUCCCAUAACAAAUUAGCACAAAAUAGGAUGAACCAGGCCCCUGUCCAAGGCUUUGAGAUGGAUGUGGGGAACAAAACCACCAUGCGCAUUAUGUACCCUGAGAUGGCUAGCACACAGGAUCCUGGCACCCAACUGCUGCUGCUUCCUCUGAAUUCAUCUGGUCUAAAGUGGUUUAUGGAAGUGCUGCGGGAACAGAGCUUCAGAAGCCCAGUAAACCCUGGCUUUCAGAUAGUCCAGGUCCCCCAGUGGAAGUAGCAAGAGCAAAGACAAGGUCUUGGUGAUCAGCCUCAACUUUCUCCAGUAUGUCCAGCAUUGUUGGCUGGGGAAACACAGUUGGUUUCCAUCCUUGGGGUUCGUGGGUUUGUUGUAUGCCCUGCACACAUGUGACCAGGCACUGAUGCUAGGAGACCUAACCCCAUUCCAGCUGGCCAAGGAGGAACUUUUCAGCUGAACCCCACAGCAAAGCCCUGAGACCCACCCAUGCCAGUCCUGUGCUAUGCAACGUGGAACUCGGGGAAUCUGAAGUCUUCACAAUAUGGAGUAUCCACUGAGGAGCACCACCUGUGCUCAGUGGGGGCAAGAGGGUGAGGGUGGUGAGCAGUGCCAGCCUGUGAGCCCCAAAGCCUUCCUGACUUCCUUUCCUAUCUCUGCAGAAUGAACCAGGCCCCAGUUUUAGGUCCAGAAAACAACAAAGGCAACAAACAGAAUCUACCUGCACAUAAUGCACCUGAGAGUGCCCAUGACCUGGAGAGAAUAUCCACACACUGCUGGUGUUGUCGCAGCCACCAGAUAUAGGGUGGACUGUAGUGGUCUUGAGCCAAGGUGGAAAAGGGCAUCUUUUACCAGGUGGUGUGAGGGUGGAGGCCCCAGGCCUGGAGCAGACAGCCCUGGCUUUUUGGUGUAAAUGUUGAUCUUGUCAUCACUCUGCAGUGUGUGACUGUAUACUCCCCACCUCCCUAACCUACAACCAGUAUUUCCUUCUCUACUUCAUGCUUUUCUGCCUUCACGCUUCUACUAGUCCCGUGUAGGGAAGCAUAUGAGUCAAGGUAAUUAAAUUGUGCUCUGGUGAUCGUUGCUGUAACAUGCAAACUAUGGAGGCUCACUGAGAGAAUGGGGUGCCGCACCCGGCAGACCCAGGCACUCCCUAGGAACAUUGCCCAGACUCUGACUCAGCUCUUGUCCUCUUCGACUCUCAAGACUUUCUGUUCUGUAGCAGCCUCUAGCAAAGGAGGGGCUGGAACAGAGGAGAAGUUUUGUGAAAGGAGGCCUUUGACCUCAGCUCUGACUUUUCCCCCCAGAUUCUGGUGACCAACUUCAUCAUCCUCAAGUGCAUCCACGAGACCUCGCUGGUCAGAGACAUUUCCCAACCACCAGAUUCGCUGUGGCAUGUGGGGUGGAGAAGGAAAGGAAGGUCUGGCCUGAUGCCUUUAGGCAAGGUUGGGUCCUGCCUAGAAGAUCCACACUCUUCUCUAAGCUAGAGAACCAGAGGUGAAGGACCAAAAAGUAAGGAACCAAGAGAAGUCCUGUUUGUCCUUGAGAACUCCUAGCACAGGAAAGGCCAGAUGAGGAUUCUGAGCCACAGGGAAUCUGAGUAGAGGCAGGGUCCAGGCCAGCAUCUCUGGGGCUCCAGAUACAAUUCUGGGGAGCUCUAAGCUGUAACUUUUUACUAAGUAUCUGUUGCUGAGUCCCAUGCCAUGAAUUUUUAGAACAAAACUUCAGCAGUGGUGAA